rnacentral:lncRNA from 1 species
UCGAUUUUCAACUUACUUGAAAUAAAGUUCACUGAAAUCGCGCUCUCAAGUGUCCACAAGCUCCAGAUCUACUCCAAUAUCCUUGACUUGAAGCUUUAAGCAAGAAGAAUCAAUUGAAAACACCUAGAUCUACUUCAAUUUCAGAAAUCCAUUUCCAUGAAAGUGCACUUGAUCUGUUCGAAAUCCAGCUCAAUUGUCCAAUCCAGAUGAUGAUUCUUGCUCAGAAUUACACCAGGAGCAAGAAUAUGCAAAGAGAUUUGGUGUUUGUG